AACGAACGCUGGCGGCAGGCUUAACACAUGCAAGUCGAACGCGAACGGUCCUUCGGGACUUAGUAGAGUGGCGCACGGGUGAGUAACACGUGGGAAUAUACCCUUCAGUUUGGGACAACCAUUGGAAACGAUGGCUAAUACCAGAUACGCCCUUUUUGGGGAAAGAUUUAUCGCUGAAGGAUUAGCCCGCGCUAGAUUAGCUAGUUGGUGAGGUAAGAGCUCACCAAGGCAACGAUCUAUAGCUGGUUUGAGAGGAUGAUCAGCCACACUGGGACUGAGACACGGCCCAG
rnacentral:rRNA from 1 species